rnacentral:rRNA from 1 species
UACGGAGGAUGCAAGCGUUAUCCGGACUUAUUGGGUUUAAAGGGUGCGUAGGCGGGCUUUUAAGCGUGAGGUGAAAUGCCUGGGCUCAACCUGGGAACUGCCUCGCGAACUGGAGGCCUUGAAUGUCCGUGCCGUGGGAGGAAUGUGUGGUGUAGCGGUGAAAUGCAUAGAGAUCACACAGAACACCGAUUGCGAAGGCAUCUCACGAACGGAUGAUUGACGCUGAGGCACGGAAGCGUGGGGAUCAAAC